CCUACGGGAGGCAGCAGUGGGGAAUCUUGGACAAUGGGCGCAAGCCUGAUCCAGCCAUGCCGCGUGAGUGAUGAAGGCCUUAGGGUCGUAAAGCUCUUUCGCCAGAGAUGAUAAUGACAGUAUCU
rnacentral:rRNA from 1 species